rnacentral:rRNA from 1 species
AAACAUGGACUAAUACCGCAUAUACUCUUGCUACAUAAGUAGAGUAGAGGAAAGGAGCAAUCCGCUUUACGAUGAGCCUGCGGCCUAUUAGCCUGUUGGUGGGGUAACGGCCUACCAAAGCUACGAUAGGUAGCCGACCUGAGAGGGUGACCGGCCACAUUGGGACUGAGAUACGGCCCAGACUCCUACGGGAGGCAGCAGCUGAGAAUCUUCCACAAUGGACGAAAGUCUGAUGGAGCGACAUCGCGUGAGGGAUGAAGGCCUUCGGGUUGUAAACCUCGGAAAUUAUCGAAGAAUGAGUGACAGUAGAUAAUGUAAGCCUCGGCUAACUACGUGCCAGCAGCCGCGGUAAUACGUAGGAGGCAAACGUUGCUCGGAUUUACUGGGCGUAAAGGGUGAGUAGGUGGACUUAUAAGUCUAAGGUGAAAGACCGAAGCUCAACUUCGGAAACGCCUCGGAUACUGUAAGUCUUGGAUAUUGUAGGGGAUGAUGGAAUUCUCGGUGUAGCGGUGGAAUGCGCAGAUAUCGAGAGGAACACCUAUAGCGAAGGCAGUCAUCUGGGCAUUUAUCGACGCUGAAUCACGAAAGCUAGGGGAGCAAACAGGCUUAGAUACCCUGGUAGUCCUAGCCGUAAACGUUGUACACUAGGUGCUUCUAUUUAAAUAGGAGUGCCGUAGCUAACGUCUUAAGUGUACCGCCUGAGGAGUAUGCCCGCAAGGGUGAAACUCAAAGAAAUUGACGGGUCCCCGCACAAGUGGUGGAGCAUGUGGUUUAAUUCGAUGAUACGCGAAAAACCUUACCUGGGUUUGAAUUGUAAGAUGAAUGAUUUAGAGAUAAGUCAGACCGCAAGGACGUUUUACAUAGGUGCUGCAUGGCUGUCGUCAGCUCGUGUCGUGAGAUGUUGGGUUAAGUCCCGCAACGAGCGCAACCCUCACCCUUUGUUGCUACCGAGUAAUGUCGGGCACUCUUAGGGGACUGCCUACGUUCAAGUAGGAGGAAGGUGGGGAUGAUGUCAAGUCCUCAUGGCCCUUAUGUCCAGGGCUACACACGUGCUACAAUGGCAAGUACAAAGAGAAGCAAGACCGCGAGGUGGAGCAAAACUCAAAAAAGUUGCCUCAGUUCGGAUUGGAGUCUGAAACUCGACUCCAUGAAGUUGGAAUCACUAGUAAUCGUAGAUCAGAACGCUACGGUGAAUACGUUCCCGGGGAUUGUA